AGUGAACGCUGGCGGUAGGCCUAACACAUGCAAGUCGAACGGUAGCACAGUAAGAGCUUGCUCUUACGGGUGGCGAGUGGCGGACGGGUGAGGAAUACAUCGGAAUCUACUUUUUCGUGGGGGAUAACGUAGGGAAACUUACGCUAAUACCGCAUACGACCUACGGGUGAAAGCAGGGGAUCUUCGGACCUUGCGCGAUUGAAUGAGCCGAUGUCGGAUUAGCUAGUUGGCAGGGUAAAGGCCCACCAAGGCGACGAUCCGUAGCUGGUCUGAGAGGAUGAUCAGCCACACUGGAACUGAGACACGGUCCAGACUCCUACGGGAGGCAGCAGUGGGGAAUAUUGGACAAUGGGCGCAAGCCUGAUCCAGCCAUACCGCGUGGGUGAAGAAGGCCUUCGGGUUGUAAAGCCCUUUUGUUGGGAAAGAAAAGCAGCAGGUUAAUACCCCGCUGUUCUGACGGUACCCAAAGAAUAAGCACCGGCUAACUUCGUG
rnacentral:rRNA from 1 species